rnacentral:rRNA from 1 species
CUAAGAAUCUUUCCACAAUGGACGGAAGUCUGAUGGAGCGACGCCGCGUGGACGAUGAAGGCCGUGAGGUUGUAAAGUCCUUUUCGGGAGGGGGAAUAACCGCGGGAGGGAAUGCCCGCGGGAUGACGUGAAUCCCGGAAUAAGCCCCGGCUAACUACGUGCCAGCAGCCGCGGUAAUACGUAGGGGCGAGCGUUGUUCGGAAUCAUUGGGCGUAAAGGGUGCGCAGGUGGCCGAUCAAAGUCUGGCGUGAAAGUGCGGGGCUCAACUCCGUGAUGCGCUGGAAACUGGCCGGCUAGAGUA